rnacentral:rRNA from 1 species
UACGGGAGGCAGCAGUGGGGAAUAUUGCGCAAUGGGCGAAAGCCUGACGCANCGACGCCGCGUGGAGGAUGAAGGCCUUCGGGUUGUAAACUCCUGUCAGGGGGGACGAAUGUCNNCAGGAUGAAUAAUCCUGUUGGUUGACGGUACCUCCAAGGGAAGCCCCGGCUAACUCCGUGCCAGCGACCGCGGUAAU